rnacentral:rRNA from 11 species
CUCUCGGCAACGGAUAUCUCGGCUCACGCAUCGAUGAAGAACGUAGCAAAAUGCGAUACUUGGUGUGAAUUGCAGAAUCCCGUGAACCAUCGAGUUUUUGAACGCAAGUUGCGCCCGAAGCCAUUCGGCUGAGGGCACGUCUGCCUGGGCGUCAGCAUCGCGUC